AUGACACAAUGCGGGAGACUUGGGUUAAUCAGUCUGAUCCACUCCUGGCUGGCUGUUGAGGGCGUUUGUGGAGAUCAGCAGAAGGAGGAUCUCUCUUCUCUCUCCCUUUCCCUCUAUCAUUCUUCUUCUCAAAUAAAUGUUUUUAAAAAAAAUGUAAUUAAUGAUUUCCUGAAAGAGCCACAGGAUAUUUGUGGCUUUCUGAUUAUUUGACACUGCUGUUUCCUCAUCAUUAAAACUCUCUUCCCACUUGGGUUUCUGUGACUGUACCUUCUGGAUCUCCCAUCCUACCGCUCAGUCAACUUCUUCUCAAUCUCCUUUUCAUCUCUUCCUCUUAUAUUUUUUUUCUUCAAAUGGUGGUGUUUCCUAAGGUUCUGUUCUUGGUCCUCAUUACCUUCUGCUUUUCAAGCUGACCAUGAGUAAUCUGCUUCCUUGCCCUUGACUUCUGCUACAAACUAUGUGCUCACGACAUCUCUAUUUCCAGCCUAAACACAUUCAACUCAUCUAAAUCAAGUCACCUUAGCUCCAACAUAGCUUUCAGUGCAAAUGUCUUCCUCUUCAAACUGUAUGUACUGCAGUAAAGUCCUACCUCUAUGAAUAGCACUACCCAGCUCACAGAUUGCUUCCCUCUCUUCCACUGCUCCUGAUGCUACUUUGAUCCAAAUCAUUCCCAUAUCUGAGCUCACUAUCAACAAUGUCUCCAGAGUCUCUGCCUAUAUUCCACUUUUCAUAACAUUACUAGAAUCAUCUAAGAUAUAAAUCUAAUUAUAUCAUUUUCCUGAUUAAAGUCCUUCUAUGUUCUCAUAUUGACAAUAGGAUAAAUUCCAAAUGCCUUAUAAUUUCAGAGUAUCUCACACCCAAGUCCUUAGCUACUUUCCCAUUUUAUUUCACUCCAUGUCCAAUCUUCACCACCUCUUAACUUUCACUCUUCAUCCCACCAUGUCUAACAGCCUGCAAUUUCCUGAAAUAAUACAAUCUACUUUAAAAUAUCUCCAGGUCCUUCACAGUUAAGAGACUAUUUUUAUGUAGAAUACCUUAGCACCCUAUCCACCCGGAACAUACAUAUUAACUCUUCAAUACAAUUAUUUUUUCUACAAAGAAAUUUCUAAGAACCCCAACAGAGUUAAUCAUUUCCACAUUUGUACCCUCACAGUAUCUUCACUUCUAUCGUAGCACAUAGAGAAGUUCAUUAUACUAUUUUAAC
rnacentral:lncRNA from 1 species